rnacentral:rRNA from 1 species
GAUGAACGCUAGCGGCAGGCCUAAUACAUGCAAGUCGAACGGUGUCUUCGGACAUAGUGGCGCACGGGUGCGUAACACGUAUGCAACCUACCUUACAUUGGGGGAUAGCCUUUCGAACGGGAGAUUAAUACCGCAUAAGACAGUAGCUGGGCAUCCAGCAGCUGUUAAAGAUUUAUCGAUGUAAGCUGGGCAUGCGUCCAAUUAGCUAGUUGGUUAGGUAACGGCACACCAAGGCAAUGAUUGGUAGGGGAACUGAGAGGUCAAUCCCCCACACUGGCACUCAAAUACGGGCCAGCCUCCUACGGGAGGCAGCAGUAGGGAAUAUUGGUCAAUGGACGCGAGUCUGACCCAGCCAUGCCGCGUUCAGGAUGAAGGCGUUAUGCGUUGUAAACUGCUUUUAUACAGGAAGAAACGACUCUUGCGAGAGGCAUUGACGGUACUGUAUGAAUAAGCACCGGCUAACUCCGUGCCAGCCGCCGCGGUAAAAC